rnacentral:rRNA from 1 species
AUUGAACGCUGGCGGCAGGCCUAACACAUGCAAGUCGAGCGAGCGGCGGACGGGUGAGUAAUGUCUGGGGAACUGCCCGAUGGAGGGGGAUAACUACUGGAAACGGUGGCUAAUACCGCAUACUAUCGGAUGAGCCCAUAUGGGAUUAGCUAGUAGGUGGGGUAAAGGCUCACCUAGGCGACGAUCUCUAGCUGGUCUGAGAGGAUGAACAUCCACACUGGAACUGAGACACGGCCCAGACUCCUACGGGAGGCAGCAGUGGGGAAUAUUGCACAAUGGGCGAAAGCCUGACGCAGCAAUGCCGCGUGAUUGAUGAAGGUCUUCGGAUUGUAAAGCUCUGUUAUUAGGGAAGCGGUACCUAAUCAGAAAGCAACGGCUAACUCCGUGCCAGCCGCCGCGGUAAUAC